UAAUUUUUUUUUUUAAUGACUCAAGGUUAUCAUGAUGGCAAAUAAUUCCUCAAUCUAAUGGUCCUUUGCUUUCACCAUAAUAUUAAUGAGCCAUUCUUCUUAAAAAAAUGACUCACCAAGAGCAGAGCAGACUGACCAGCAGCUUUUGGGACUGCACUGAAACCUUCCCACUCCAACCACAGCCAAUUUAUAACCAGUCUGUGCUACAGACCACUCACACUUGGUCCUGACCCAAGAGGAGCCUUGCCCCAAUCAGAAUGGAAUAACUGGGAAAACUCAGGCUAAACAGAGAUGAAACAAGGAAAAGGAGCUUGGAUGAUUUGGAACACAAGCAUCCUGAAUACCAAUCCUUUAUGAAUCCCAAAUUGCCAGGCAUUCCUUUGAUUUUGAAACUCGGUGGGGAGAUUGAAAACAGGAGUCCUUUCCUUCUGGAAAUGCAUUGUCUCUUUAUUCUGCUGUGGUGCAUCAGAGAUGAGCAGAUCCUGUAUUUUUGGCAUUGAUGAAGGGUGCUCUCCAUCUGACUAAAGAAAGCUGGAAGUUGUUGCCUCUCGGUGCCUGGUACUCGGAGCCCCCGUCCUGCUGGUCCAGGGGAAAGUCUGGGAGGCCCAGGAAAUCAACUGCUCUUCAAGAACGGCAGCAUCUGCUAGGGAGGUAGCCCCGCGGUGUCUGUUUCUGAGCCAGAGAAAUAUUAAGUAAACCUAAGGAGGAUGGAUGGCUUUCCAGGGCCCUUUAAAUCUCCGCGUUCCCGGGAACGAACCAGAAGGCAGACGGGGUAGAUCGAUCCUCGGCUUCCCGCGUACCGGGUCUGCAAGGAGCGGGGCAGGGUGCGGAGGGGAAAGGAGACGGGGUUGAGCGGGCGGAGGAAGCUGCUGGAAGACCCGCAGGC